rnacentral:rRNA from 1 species
UACGAGAGGCCCAACCGUUAUUCGGAUUUACUGGGCUUAAAGAGUCCGUAGGCGGCGCAGAUAGUGGGGUGUGAAAUCCCUCGGCUUAACCGAGGAAUUGCGCUCCAAACUCCUGUGCUAGAGGAAUCUAGAGGUGAGCGGAACUGAUGGUGGAGCGGUGAAAUGCGUUGAUAUCAUCAGGAACACCGGAGGCGAAGGCGGCUCACUGGGGAUUUUCUGACGCUGAGGGACGAAAGCCAGGGGAGCGAACGGG